GCUGCUGGGGGUUUCUGAGUGUCUGAAUCAUAGAAUGGUUUAGGUUGGAAGGGACCUUAAUAAAGAUCAUCUAGUUCCAACUCUCCUGUUAUGGGCAGGGACAACUUCCACCAGAUCAGGUCGCUCAAAGCCCCCAUCCAACAUGGCUGUGAACUCUUCCAGGGAGGGGGCA